GACGAACGCUGGCGGCGCGCUUAACACAUGCAAGUCGAACGGAAAGGCCUGCUUUCCCUUGUGGAUUGCGGGUACUCGAGUGGCGAACGGGUGAGUAACACGUGAGUGAUCUGCCCCCAACUUGGGUAUAAGCCUGGGAAACUGGGUCUAAUUCCCGAUAGGACUGCAGGGUGGUGCCUGUGGUGGAAAACGAUUUUCUAGUGGUUGGGGAUGAGCUCGCGGCCUAUCAGCUUGUUGGUGGAGUAAUGGCCUACCAAGGCGGCGACGGGUAGCCGGCCUGAGAGGGUGGACGGCCACAUUGGGACUGAGAUACGGCCCAGACUCCUACGGGAGGCAGCAGUGGGGAAUAUUGCACAAUGGGCGGAAGCCUGAUGCAGCGACGCCGCGUGGGGGAUGACGGCCUUCGGGUUGUAAACUCCUUUCGACCGCGAGGAAGCCACCUGGUUGGAAGGGUGGUGACGGUAGUGGUAGAAGAAGCACCGGCUAACUACGUG
rnacentral:rRNA from 1 species